AAGGUAAACAUGUCACUCCACAAGUGAUCAACAUUCUGCACGUCGAACACAUUUUCCCGAACUGUUUCUAAUCAGUCCAUCGACGCAUCUGCAGCCUCUUACACAUUCCUGUAACACAAAUUAUUACAAGGUAGUAACUGUUCAGGCUCGUUAAACUGACCAGAUCUUCAACAUGGAAACCACAUCGAAAGACGUUCCUCUAUCUUCAGCUGCGAUGCACACAGCUACCCUACCGGUACAUCUAUACGAGUCAUUCGAAUGACCAUAAUAAAUAUUUCGAAUCGACUAAUCAACGGCUUGGUGCAGAGUUCGGAUAAAAGAUACCGUUCUAAUUGGGCAGUAUCUGGGAGCAUUACAUCCGUUAAACGGAUCACACUCGGGAAUGUUUUAUUCGUUGACUGGCUGUGAUUACCGUCGAUAGCCAGGAGGGCCAGAUGUUCGAGCGGCGAUGACGGGGUGCGACAUUCUCAUGGACUUCAAAAGGGUGCUCGAUGGUUCCGCGGAGCAUCCAAGAGGAAAAGCGUAAAGUAGAUGAGAGGAGGAGAAGAAAGAAGUAGCAAUCCAUACUGUCGCGACUGCUGGAGAGACCAUUAAGCCAACAGGAGUGUCCUUUCCGUCGGAAGUCCUGGAAAGUGGACACUUGGGGUGUGUACAUACGUGCAGGACGCGGAACAGGAUGGGACAAACAAGGUGGUUUCACGAUGAAAUCCGAAGCGCAUUACGAGACGAGAAACAGAUUUCGACAUUUUGGGAAGGAGACACCUCGCAUUUCCUUAUU